rnacentral:rRNA from 1 species
UACGGAGGGUGCGAGCGUUGUCCGGAAUCACUGGGCGUAAAGGGCGCGUAGGCGGCGCGGAUAGUCGGCGGUGAAAGCCCGGAGCUCAACUCCGGGUCGGCCGUCGAUACUUCCGGGCUUGAGCACUGUAGAGGCAGAUGGAAUUCCGGGUGUAGUGGUGAAAUGCGUAGAGAUCCGGGAGGAACACCAGUGGCGAAGGCGAC